GACACGUAUCAAUGAUGUUGGAAUUUCAUAUAUAGGGGCAUGCAUGUGUAUUUCAAAAUUUUAUUUUUUAAACACUGUAAUAGAAUAGUAGUUUAAAAUAUUUUUAAUCUAUAUCAUGCAUGCAUAAAAAUAUAAACCACAAGGAUUUACUUCAUAUGCUGAAGUUGUACAUAUGCUGAAAUUUAACAUGUGAUCAAAUCACAUACCUGUUUCUCAAUUUUUUCUUCAAAUCUGGAUCUGAAAGAGAAGAGGCUCUCUUUUAGCCAUACAAGUAUCCGAUCUCUAUGGUUAUCCACUCG
rnacentral:lncRNA from 1 species